rnacentral:rRNA from 1 species
GGGCUACCCGCUGAAUUUAAGCAUAUCAAUAAGCGGAGGA